rnacentral:rRNA from 1 species
CAGUAGCCGCGGUAAUACGUAGGGUGCAAGCGUUAAUCGGAAUUACUGGGCGUAAAGCGUACGCAGGCGGUUAUAUAAGUCAGAUGUGAAAUCCCCGGGCUCAACCUGGGAACUGCAUUUGAGACUGUAUGGCUAGAGUGUGUCAGAGGGGGGUAGAAUUCCACGUGUAGCAGUGAAAUGCGUAGAUAUGUGGAGGAAUACCGAUGGCGAAGGCAGCCCCCUGGGAUAACACUGACGCUCAUGCACGAGAGCGUGGGGAGCAAACAGGAUUAGAUACCCCAGUAGUCCCUGUCUCUUAUAA